GACGAACGCUGGCGGCGUGCUUAACACAUGCAAGUCGAGCGGAAAGGCCUGCUUUCCCUUGUGGAUUGCGGGUACUCGAGUGGCGAACGGGUGAGUAACACGUGAGUGAUCUGCCCCCAACUUGGGUAUAAGCCUGGGAAACUGGGUCUAAUUCCCGAUAGGACUGCAGGGUGGUGCCUGUGGUGGAAAACGAUUUUCUAGUGGUUGGGGAUGAGCUCGCGGCCUAUCAGCUUGUUGGUGGGGUAAUGGCCUACCAAGGCGGCGACGGGUAACCGGCCUGGGAGGGUGGACGGCCACAUUGGGACUGAGAUACGGCCCAGACUCCUACGGGAGGCAGCAGUGGGGAAUAUUGCACAAUGGGCGGAAGCCUGAUGCAGCGACGCCGCGUGGGGGAUGACGGCCUUCGGGUUGUAAACUCCUUUCGACCGCGAGGAAGCCACCUGGUUGGAAGGGUGGUGACGGUAGUGGUAGAAGAAGCACCGGCUAACUACGUG
rnacentral:rRNA from 1 species